GGAGGAGUGGCCGAGUGGUCGAAGGCAGCGGUUUUGAAAACCGCCGUAUCGCAAGGUACCGGGGGUUCGAAUCCCUCCUCCUCCG
rnacentral:tRNA from 1 species